GGGACCGCUUUUCCUUCCGCACUGGGACAAGCUCUGUUACCGGGAGAAGUUUCUCCAGGAAAGGCUAAAUACCCUUGGACGCUACUGGUGAGCGAGAGACACCAGCUUACCGCUGCGGCUGCCAGGCCUCGGAUGAUCCCUGCCUUCUGAGCCGUCCAGAGCAGCCCCGUAGGCCGUAGCGGGCGUGGGAUGGACUCGCCGGUUGGUCAGUGGCUCUGCCUUCCGUAGCCCGCAGGGUUCCGCCCGGGACGCGCGGUUUAGUUUAGUAGCUGCGGUCUCCUUACCUGUUUGGGUUCUCAGCACCGCAGAGCACCGUUGCCAUCUAGGCCAGUGGAGGCCAGUUCUCCCGCCGGCCAGGUGCUCGGGAUACCAGUCAUCUGUGAACCGUGGGGCUGUGCGACACUCAAGCCAGCUUACCACACUUCCAACUGUGUCACACUCCCAAGGCGGCUCCUUUGGUCACAAGGUUUCCCCAAGGUCACCUUUUUGUAAUUCUCAUAGAUUGGGCUACAGGAUGAGACAUAUCUCCACAAAGAAGCAAGCAGAUACUUUUAAAAAUAAACAAAUCAAUUUUGAGUUCGUUUUCUAAUGCCGCUUUUGUGGUCAGAGUUGAAAAGAAACAUUUUAAAAUUAGGUUCAGGAAGAGACUCUUUCCCCCGAGCCCCCGGAUGUUUUAUUUCGGAUCAAAUCUAGCUGGUUCAGACCAAGAACAGUCUGUAGUUCAAACAAAAAGAAACAUCCUCGUUACUUGAAAUUUGAAUUUGGGGGAUCAAUUUGAUAGUAAUGAGACAAGAGUAACCAAGGCUAACCAGUUGUUUUACAGAUUCUAUUGAAAUGGAUUUAGAACUGCCGAGAUGGAAAAAAAACACGUGAAUGAAGGCCAGUUUUUAUACUGUCACAGCACAUCUGACUUCUAGCACAGAUGAUCUCUCUCUUUUUUAAACCAAAGAAAAAUUGUGCUAAGGAAGGAAAAGAAACCUCUAUUUUAGAGAACUGUCCGUUAUAAACAUGUUCCGUCUACGAGGCGUCUCUCUACUCUCUUGGAGAGCGUUUCCGUUCCGCCCCUUCAGUUGUGAGUCAUUAAUUGUUCAGAUGCAGAACUGUGCAGAUGAAGAACAAGUGUUUGAUCUUAUCGAGAGAAAUAAGGCCACGCUCUCAGAACAGCAAGUGGGCUGUGCAUUUAACGUACUUUGGCAGUUUCAGAAGCAGAAGACCAUCUUGGAGAAAAAUGUUGAGCGCG
rnacentral:lncRNA from 1 species